GCGAGAGUGGCGGAAUUGGUAGACGCGCUGGAUUUAGGUUCCAGUAGGGCAACCUGUGAGAGUUCGAGUCUCUCCUUUCGCACCA
rnacentral:tRNA from 1 species